rnacentral:tRNA from 1 species
UCCAGGGUAGCCUAGUGGACAUGGCAUGUGCCUGAUAAGCGGAACAUUGUGGAUUCGAUUCCCAUCCCUGGAC